GGAGCAGGUGUCGCGAGAGUGGGCAGCGCGCCGCCUAGCGAGAGCUGGAAUUAUGGCGAACCUGGGAAGUGAGGCUGAGCGGGAGCCCCUCUUGGGCCCGGGAUCACCGGAAAGCAGGUUUUUCUAUUGUGAUAAUGUCCAUCUGGCCAUAUCUUCAAAAGGCCGAGAAAAGAACCUCUUAUCGUCUCCAUCUCUAUUUCGGUGGCAGCCAACUGCCUAUAUGUGUAUGUCCAUGUGCCAGCUGCUCAUAAUAAAUACUACAUGUUGAUUGCUCGUGGAUUGGUGGGAUUUGGAGCAGGUAACUGUGCAUGUAUGUGUGUUUGUGUAUGUUAGGUCACAUUCUUCCUCCUGUUCAUAGCCAUGUCUCCCCUGUGUCAUCCUUUCCCAGUCUCACAUCCCUGGUUCAGCAAAUUCUGCCUCUGUCCAUGAUCCUUCUGUUAUGUGCAUGUUCACUAGUCUUCACCCUCAGGGCACACAUUAAGUGCUAUGUGUAGUGUGGAGCCCUCUCAGGCUUCUUGAAUGC
rnacentral:lncRNA from 1 species